GGGUGUUGUUAUAUGGGAAGAUGUAAUGCCACUUCACAACACGAGGGACCCGCUCAAUGACAGUCACAUGCGGAUACAGCCGAAAAUAUCAUUGGGGGCCAAACAUGGGACACAGGCUGGACAGGGAGAGAACAAAAUGGGAGAGAACAGGAUUCAAGAGGACAAGGGGGGCAAGAGAAGAGGGUAAGAGGAAGAUGGAGACAGUCAAGGAGGAGAGAGAGAGUUUCUAGGAGGGGAGAGAGAGUUUCUAGGAGGAGAGAGAG